AAAGGACCGGUAUAUGCCCACCAUGACACAUCGUCUGCUACAACAAGAUGGCGGCUGUCAAAAUGCAUUGGGCGAAGCUAGUGAGCUCUGGUAAAUUGUAGUUUUCCAAGUAAUGGAGAUUAACAGCUGGUGUCACGUAAGGCCAUAGAAUGUUUCCCGGAUCCCCUGCUUGGUGUCGCUGCUCUUGCUCUGCUUUCCAAGGAAUUAAAGGACCGUUAUCGCCCACCAUAAAACAUGGUCUGCUAAAACAAGAUGGCGGCUGACAAAACACAUUGGGCAAGGCUUGAGAGCCUUGAAAUAUUGUAGUUUUCGCAGUAAUAGAGGUUCUACACACUGCUGGUACUGUCCACACUGCUGUUUGGGAAGCCGCCCUUCAAGAACCUGGUUGUCAACGGACUGGUUCUGGCAGAAGAUGGACAGAAGAUGAGCAAGAGGAAGAAGAACUACCCCGACCCCAUAGAGAUCGUCAACAAGUUUGGUGCAGAUGCACUCAGACUGUACCUGAUCAACUCCCCGUCUGUGAGGGCCGAGAACCUGCGCUUCAAGGAGGCUGGUGUGAGGGAUGUCCUCAAGGAUGUCUUCCUGCCCUGGUACAAUGCCUACUGAUUCCUCAUGCAGAACAUAGA